rnacentral:lncRNA from 1 species
GAAAUUAUUGUAUCAAUUCAAGAAUUUCAUUUUUCAACCACCUCCCGUCGCCCGUCUGCACCCUACUCUGGUGCCGCCUCAGCCUCAACCAAUCAACCUCCUCCUCCUCCUCCCUCUGAUGACAAACUUCUAUCUUGCUUAGUUGCUCCGUAACAGUAAGGUGUCCUAGUCCCGCCAGUCUUGAACCUCCGUUGAAGGGUUGCAAUGUUUUGGCUCCGGUUAUUCUUCCGACGGCAAUCGACAGUCCUCACAGCAGAAGAAGAAGGUCUGAUUCGUUUGAAGAUGAAGCCCCGAUUUUCCAAAUUCCACCAGCCCUGAAUCCCGGAUUGGCUGAUUAUUCACUAGCUCAUUUUGAUUUUUUUUUCUUUUUAUUUUAUUCUUUUGUUAUUUAGAUUUAUGUGAUUUGGUGGGUGUUUUUUUUUUUUUUUCCCCCCCUAAACAUAUGGAAUUAGGCAAUUAGCAACUCUUCAAUUGCUUGAACUAGAAGCCACAUUGCCAUUUGCCAUUGCUUUUACACUGUGAGUUGCUUGCUUAUUCUCUGUUACUUGAAUUUUGAAAUAGUAUAUAUUGCCUUGUGAAUCUGUGAAUUGAUGAAUGUGUUGGCUUGUUGCCCUGUGAAUUGCUUAUAAUAUUGGUAUUGCUAUGGCCUAUGUGAAUGGAAUUGUCC